UAGGGAAUUUUCGUUCAAUGGGCGCAAGCCUGAACGAGCGAUGCCGCGUGAGUGAAGAAGGCCUUGGUCGUAAAGCUCUGUUGCGGGGAAAAAAGGCAGCAUCAGGAAAUGGGUGCCUGACUGAUGGUGCCCCGCCAGAAAGUCACGGCUAACUACGUGCC
rnacentral:rRNA from 1 species